rnacentral:rRNA from 1 species
AUUGAACGCUGGCGGCAGGCCUAACACAUGCAAGUCGAGCGGAGCGGCGGACGGGCGAGUAAUGCCUAUGAAUCUGCCUGGUAGUGGGGGAUACCGUCCUGCAACGGGCGCUAAUACCUCAUACUCUCAGAUGAGCCUCGGUGGGAUUAGCUAGUUGGUGGGUUAAAGGCCUACCAAGGCGACGAUCCGUAACUGGUCUGAGAGGAUGAUCAGUCACACUGGAACUGAGACACGGCCCAGACUCCGACGGGAGGCAGCAGUGGGGAAUAUUGGACAAUGGGCGAAAGCCUGAUGCAGCCAUGCCGCGUGUGUGAAGAAGGCCUUCGGAUUGUAAAGCACUUUCAGUCGGGAGGCGUUACCAACAGAAGAAGCACCGGCUAACUUCGUGCCAGCAGCCGCGGUAAUAC